GUGUUCGGAAAGGAAGAGAAACUUACAGGUGUGGGCUGGGGCCGGUGUCCAAAGGGCCAGGAGUGUAAAUCAAAGGGCACCCUGCCAUGAUCUAGGCUUCCUUCUGCUUUAAAAGUUAGAACAGAUGUCACAAGGGGGGCAAAGUAGAUUUGGCCAACAGAGGGGCCUUUCUGGUCAUCCUUAGGACGAGGCGCCUUGAAAUGUUAAUGCACACGGUGUGUGUUGCCGGGUUUGCCUAGCGAUGGUGGGAAACAGUCCUGAUCCCAACAAAACCUUUUGUUAUUAAUCAAGAAAAUCUGGUCCACUGAAGCAGCAAAGAGCUAGAACUGAGUGAGCCACCGCCUAGGAGAGCAGUGCGCGGGAAUGCGGACCCCUUCACAGUUGCCUAAACUCCGAGUCCUGUCCAGCACUGUGCUGUCCUUUCCCGUUGGCUGAACGGCUACCAUCCUGUGGAGACCCUGGAUCCUGUUUCAAAAGAGUUCUCCCUUCUCAUCUGUACUAACAAGAUCCUCAUUUAGGUCUUUGAUGAGCCACAGGGCUGGGAGGGAGUGGACCUAGCAAUGCAGGAAAAUGAACCGGAAGUGAAGAAUUCCUCAGCUGUGUCCCUCUCAUGCUUCAAGAAGCCGAACUUCUGCUUGGAGAUCAAGGCUCAGGAUGCAGGCAAGGCAAAGCUGCAGGAAGGAGGGAGUUGGACACACACAGAUAGUACCACCCAGAGAUGGCAGUAGAGUUUGGAAUGUUGCAUCUACAAGUCAAGGCGUGUUGCUGGCCCAGUUGGAACUGAGAAGAGGUAUCUGUUGCAGCAUCCCAGGGAAGACAUCCACAGAGGGGCCUGGCUUGCCUUUCCUGAGUGUAUCCUGGACCGCUGCAGAGGGAAGGAAGAUGCUGUCGUCCAUUCAGUUGCAGGGCCUCAUGGGGAGUGAGGCACAAGGCUUUGAUGAUUAAAGGGAAAUCAACAUGGGGCCAAGGGGAUCUUCAGGAGGGAGGUGUGACUCUCACAGCCAAGGUUUGGAGCCAGAGAAGUAGGUAUUGAAGAUGGAGAGACCAGUCAGGUGUGGUCAGGGAGGCAGGGGUGAUGAUGGAGCAGAACCUGGAGCCAGAGGCCACUGGUGUUGAAUACAAGGAGAGACCUGAACUUUGGUGUCAUGAUAAGGAGCUUUGGCAAUAAGACAGCAAAGGCACAGGAGUGACAGGAGAAGGUUUGCUCCUCAAGAGAUACACGAGGAUGAUGGACAUGGUCAACCCUGUGGCACAAUGGUACCCUGAGGAGAGAAGAGAAUCACACAUUCCUCAAGCACUGGGGUCCUCAAGAGAGGGGAGUCAUACAGAGGUUGGGAGUCCAACACUGCUGUCAUGAUACUGAGAACCAGGGUCUUGGGGGUGACCAAGGCAAGAGGAAGAAGGAAGAGGGAUCAGAGACAUUGAUGUAGAGACAUGGCCUCCAAAGGGAGUCGUUGCUGACAUACAAAGCAAGCAUGAUUCUCCUGAAAGGACCAUGAAACCCUGGAAGGAAGAAAAAGCUCCAUGAAGCUGUGACUCAGGAGCCAAGCACGCUGGUCCUCACCCUGUGGGCGGUGGGGUUACAUUGAACGAGAUGCAGGGGUUAGAAUCCCAGGCGUGUGCGUGGGAGGCUGGCUGCGACCGGGAAAGAGUUAAUAAUUAAACUAUUUGUGCUACUGUGGCUGGUCCAGGCUGGUGCAGGG
rnacentral:lncRNA from 1 species